rnacentral:rRNA from 1 species
UACGGGGGGGGCAAGCGUUGUUCGGAAUUACUGGGCGUAAAGGGCUCGUAGGCGGCCAACUAAGUCGGAUGUGAAAUCCCCAGGCUUAACCUGGGAACUGCAUCCGAUACUGGAUGGCUUGAAUCCGGGAGAGGGAUGCAGAAUUCCAGGUGUAGCGGUGAAAUGCGUAGAUAUCUGGAGGAACACCAGCGGCGAAGGCGGCGCUCGGGGCUGGAACGGAGGCUGAGGAGCGAAAGCGUGGGGAGCGAACAGG